UACGUAGGGUGCAAGCGUUGUCCGGAAUUAUUGGGCGUAAAGAGCUCGUAGGCGGUUUGUCGCGUCGGCUGUGAAAACCCGGGGCUCAACCCCGGGCCUGCAUUCGAUACGGGCAGACUAGAGUUCGGUAGGGGAGUCUGGAAUUCCCGGUGUAGCGGUGAAAUGCGCAGAUAUCAGGAGGAACACCGGUGGCGAAGGCGGGUCUCUGGGCCGAUACUGACGCUGAGGAGCGAAAGCGUGGGGAGCAAACAGG
rnacentral:rRNA from 1 species